GCUUCUGCGCAUGCCCAGACGCCGAAAAUCGCGCUUGCGCAGAUGUGAUUUCCGGUAUCUGUGCAUGUGCAGACGCAAUUUCCGGUAUCUGUGCGUGUGCAGACGCGAUUUCCGGUAUCUGUGCAUGCGUAGACG